GACGAACGCUGGCGGCGUGCUUAACACAUGCAAGUCGAACGGAAAGGCCCUGCUUUUGUGGGGUGCUCGAGUGGCGAACGGGUGAGUAACACGUGAGUAACCUGCCCUUGACUUUGGGAUAACUUCAGGAAACUGGGGCUAAUACCGGAUAGGAGCUCCUGCUGCAUGGUGGGGGUUGGAAAGUUUCGGCGGUUGGGGAUGGACUCGCGGCUUAUCAGCUUGUUGGUGGGGUAGUGGCUUACCACGGCUUUGACGGGUAGCCGGCCUGGGAGGGUGACCGGCCUCCUUGGGCCUGCGAUACGGCCCAGACUCCUACGGGCGGCAGCAGUGGGGAAUAUUGCACAAUGGGCGGAAGCCUGAUGCAGCAACGUUGCGUGCGGGAUGCCGGCCUUCGGGUUGUAAACAGAUUUCGCCUGUGCCGAAGAGUGCGUGACGGUAAUGGGUAAAGAAGCACCGGCUAACUACGUG
rnacentral:rRNA from 1 species